rnacentral:lncRNA from 1 species
UGCAGCCAGGUCCCGGGAAGCCGGGAGAGCUGACUGAUGAACUUGAGGCGGUCCCUGCUCGGCUUCACCUUUUGCACCUGUUACCUGGCUUCUCACCUCACCAACAAGUAUGUCCUGUCUGUCCUGAAAUUUACCUACCCUACAUUAUUCCAAGGGUGGCAGACACUCAUUGGCGGACUUUUGCUUCACAUGUCAUGGAAACUGGGCUGGGUGGAGAUCAACAGCAGUCUAAGAUCUGAUGUUUUGACGUGGCUUCCUGCUUCAGUGCUAUUUGUGGGCAUAAUCUAUGCGGGGUCCAAAGCUUUAUCUAGACUGGCAGUUCCUGUGUUUCUCAUUUUGCAUAAUGCAGCUGAAGUUCUCACCUGUGGGUUCCAGAAGUGCGUCUGGAAAGAGGUAA